rnacentral:lncRNA from 1 species
AAAUACCAUUUCUAGGGUUUAAAAACCGAUCUACAAAAAUGUCACGCCCCGAGCCCGCCUAUUUGGUCGGUUUCGGGCACGCCGACAGACCGCCGAACGGACAGGGUUUCCCCUGUACCGCGGACAGAGUCUCCCCUGUACAUUCAAGGCGUCGCAAUCAAUACAAUGUACGAAGUUCCAACCAGGAACACAUUUCAAUCAAAGAUUGCAUAAGGAAGUAUCAAAAACAUAAGCUACUUGCUAUUACAAGCAUUCACAUUAUUUAGAUACAUUUUACAUCACAAUUACAUAAUACAUUUAACUUCCAAAUACAAUCAUGCUUUUAUUACAAAUUAUUGCAAUCUUAUCCCUUUCAUUUUCUUACAUUCCUAAGUAAAGCCGACUCAGGAUACCGCUAUCUCUGGUCUCGGUGGUAGGGCGCUAACUACGGAGCUACGCCCUCGCCUCGCGCCGCCGCGCCGCUCACGUGUGAACCUGUAACACCCCAAAACAACGUGGGGUGAGAACCAACUCCAUAGUUCCCAGUGGGUACGGCCACCCAAGGGAAAAGCUCGACCAAUAGGCCCAAGGAGGCACUGCAAUCAUGUUAGUCCAAAAACAUCUAUAUAUAUAUCACCAUGUUAUUAUACAACUAACAGAUAACAUGCCUCACAAAAUGCGAUAUGCAAAACCUGUAACUCAUGCAAGUAGUUUACUUGAUUCUACUACAUAUUAUUAGUCAUUCUUUACAUGUAGCCGUUCUUUACUUAUUUAACUAUUCUCAUUCAUUAGCUAUUCUUUACAUCAUUUCCUUGUUACAUUAUACUCAUUGGCGGUUCUUUAUUCUUUGACAUUCUUGAUUUUUUGAUAUACUUUAGCAUUUGCCGUUCUUUCCUAAGAUUACUUUACCUUAGCCAACUAUGCUACUCGACUCGGUCUUGAGUCAAUCAAUCGCGGAUAGUCCGCGCUCUGUCUAGCCCGAGGUGAAGGAACUCUCUCACAUGCACCUCAGCUAACCACAGCCUACCGUACUCCUGUCCUAGCCGUCUGGCGGCGAACGCAUCGCACCUCACCCAACAACAGCCUAGGUCAUGACUUAGCCACCCGGCGGCGAAAUCGUCGCACACGCCACGUCGAUGGUUCAGUCAACAGGCGGUAUGAUCCACUAACUGGCUAACCAUCCGGCGGCGAAAUCGUCGCACACGCCACGACAAUGGUUCUAUAGCCCCUGGGCGGCGAAAUCGUCGCACACAACCCACACCCCUCUCGGUGUAUCCAUUUAGCUUUGGGAUUCCGGAAUCCAUUUCACAUCACAUAAGGGUUGGUCUUAUCCCUAUAGAAUUGACCUAUCUAGGUCCAAGCCUUUACUCAACCUAAGUUAUACUUUAGGUUUGCUGCCUCCAUACUCAUAGCCUAGGUUUAUUAACUCUAGGUUCAUUACCUUUGCCCACCUAGGUUCAUGUGAUUCUAGGUUCGUUAUCUUUAUCUUACCACCUAUGUUCUCUAACAUUAGGUUUAAUGCCACUUGAUGUCCAACUUAUGUUCUUUGACACUAGGUUCAUAUCAUCCAUGUUCAACCUAUGUCCAUGACUCUAGGUUUAAUGCCACUCGAUCUAAUGUAUAUAGAUUGUCCAUAUGCACAUUAUACUAGUUUUCCAAUGUCGAGUUCUCUAAUCAACCUAGAGUUAUCGACCCCAAGUUUAACAUGUACAUGUCAACAUGCAUAGUUCAUCCUACAACAUGCAUAGUUCAUCUAUCACACGCAAUAUGUCAUUUACUUAGCAUUCUUAUUUUAGCAUCCCUAAAACAUGCUUAUCAUACAUGAACUUAGCAUUAUCCAAAUGCAUGCUUAUCAUGUAAUCUUUAGUAUUACUCAAUGCAUUCAUCUAGCAUUAUUUACACUAAGUCAUCAUGCAUUCCCUUUAUCAUGUUCUUAUAAUGUUAACAUUCAUAUGCCCUUUAUCUUAUGCAUUCAAAGCAUUAAUCACAUGCAUUUCUCUAGCAUUUCUAUAAUAUGUUAACAUGCAUUAAUAUGAAAUCUCAUUUCUCUUAGACAUACAGGCGACCUGGUCGCUUCGGUAAGCACAACCCACCUCAUUUCGCAUUCCGAUUGCUUGUCGACACUUGCAAUCGGCCGCCCGCGGCACCCGGCACUCGGUUUGGCCCGAUCUCUUGCGCGACCACCCGAACGGCCUCCAAUCCACGAUCCGAAAAUUAAAGGUUUUCGGUUAUGUGCCACGAUGGUUCAAAUCCGUUUUUAUGGGUUUACGAUGUCGCCUCGGCCCUCCAGGCGGAAACAAAGCCUAAACGUCUGUUU